rnacentral:rRNA from 1 species
GUGCAGCAGGCGAGAAACUUUACAAUGUGCGAAAGCACGAUAAGGGAACUCUGAGUGCCUCCUAAGGAGGCUGUUCAGGUGUCUAAAAGCACCUGAAGGAAGGGCCGGGUAAGACCGGUGCCAGCCGCCGCGGUAACACCGGCAGCCCAAGUGGUAGCCACGUUUAUUGGGUCUAAAGCGUCCGUAGCCGGCUGGGUAAGUUCCUUGGGAAAUUUGGCUGCUUAACAGUCAAGCUUUCAGGGAAUACUGCCCGGCUUGGGACCGGGAGAGGUCAGAGGUACUCCAGGGGUAGGGGUGAAAUCCAUUAAUCCUUGGGGGACCACCGGUAGCGAAGGCGUCUGACCAGACCGGGUCCGACGGUGAGGGACGAAGGCUAGGGGCGCGAACCGGAUUAGAUA